rnacentral:rRNA from 1 species
UACGUAGGGUGCGAGCGUUAAUCGGAAUUACUGGGCGUAAAGCGUGCGCAGGCGGUUCGUUGUGUCGGCGGUGAAAGCCCCGGGCUUAACCCUGGGAAUGGCCGUUGAAACUGGCGAACUGGAGUGUGGCAGAGGGGGGUGGAAUUCCGCGUGUAGCAGUGAAAUGCGUAGAGAUGCGGAGGAACACCGAUGGCGAAGGCAGCCCCCUGGGCUAACACUGACGCCUCAGGCACGAAAGCGUGGGGAGCAAACAGG